AAAAGAUUCAAGGAUACAUUUAUAGAAACAAAAAAUAAGUUUUUAAUAAACAUGUUAUAAAAUAAUAAACAUGUCAUCAACGUUGUGAGAGGAAAAAGGAAAUCGUUAUUCUGGUGUUAAAUUAGCUGUGUAAAAAAAUUGUUCUGUUUCGUCUCAAAUUUAAUUACUAAAUGAUCUUCAAAUUUCCAUUAUCCAUUUGAGAUGUCAUCCACAAAUUUCUUUUCAAAUUUUGGUUGCAUUUGGUCUACACAAUUUCAAGAGAAAGCCAAUUUUAUAGUGUAAAGAUGGAUUUGCUUGAUUGCAGGUUGUAUGGCGCUCCUGCUAAGACCUUCUUGGUGUGUUAUCUCACGUUGAUGAAGUUUUGAGUUCUUUCUGAAUUUACGUGCUUUGCAGGUUGUUGAAGCUUUUGAAAUGGGGGAAGUUGGUGGAUGGAUUUGGAGGAAGAUUGUUUACAGAUCUGUGUGAUGGUUUACAAAGUGUGUUUGUAGUAUAUGUGAAAUUUGUGUUGAAAAUUUGAGCCUUUGGUGAAAUUUGAGAAAUCGUGUUGUAUGCAUAUAUAUAUAUAUA